GUAGCGAAAUUCCUUGUCGGGUAAGUUCCGACCUGCACGAAUGGCGUAAUGAUGGCCAGGCUGUCUCCACCCGAGACUCAGUGAAAUUGAACUCGCUGUGAAGAUGCAGUGUACCCGCGGCAAGACGGAAAGACCCCGUGAACCUUUACUAUAGCUUGACACUGAACAUUGAGCCUUGAUGUGUAGGAUAGGUGGGAGGCUUUGAAGCGUGGACGCCAGUCUGCGUGGAGCCAUCCUUGAAAUACCACCCUUUAAUGUUUGAUGUUCUAACUCGGCCCCGUAAUCCGGGGUGAGGACAGUGUCUGGUGGGUAGUUUGACUGGGGCGGUCUCCUCCCAAAGAGUAACGGAGGAGCACGAAGGUUAGCUAAUCACGGUCGGACAUCGUGAGGUUAGUGCAAAGGCAUAAGCUAGCUUGACUGCGAGAGUGACGGCUCGAGCAGGUACGAAAGUAGGUCUUAGUGAUCCGGUGGUUCUGAAUGGAAGG
rfam:Skermanella aerolata KACC 11604 strain 5416T-32 contig240, whole genome shotgun sequence.